GUGUUGCUGAGGGACGAACACACACCAGAAGUGAGAGAGUAAAGGAAAUGCAGAAGAGUAUGGAGUGCACUUGAGAGGUUACAAGAGGAACUAUCCCAACAACGUCUUGAAGUUUGAACCAGGGAGGCCAAGCUGAGGAGGAGGAUGGCAGUUUUUCCCAGAAGCAUCCAGUACCACAUCUGACCCUGCAAACCUACAUGGACGCAGAUGGAUGAGAAAUGGGCCUUUAGUUACAUAAAAUCUCUCAGAAGCAAAGCUGCAGGAACAUACACAGAAAUGAAAUGCAGCAGAGUCAGAGGGAGUAGUGCUGAAGAAGAAAGACACGGCAUGUAGACUUAAUAAAA